UGGUGUUUCAGUGAGCCCGUAUAUACGAACAACAUACUUACCACUCAAGUGUUUGCAUUAAUUAUAGUACAAAGAAAUCAGAAGUUACUCUGUGCUGACUAUUUUGUUCCGACACCAGAUUCGAAUUGACGCAACCCAACAAUUGGUGACCACGACGUGAUUCUGGUACUGGAACUUCGCUGAGUAUUGAUCAGCCGGUUGGACAUCGCUGUCGUGGGACGGUGUGUUUCACAAAGAGUCCGGACAACUAAAAAUAGGUGAGCAGACACCUAUUGUUAUAAUAACUAAAGAUCUGCAUAUUGGCUUUAUGCAAAUUACUUUUGUGAAGCACCUGUUCGAUGUAAGUGAACUAAAUUAUGAAUUAUUAUGAGUAGAUAAGAAAUAUUAUAGUGACAUUAUUGUGACAUGCAAACAUGUGGUGAAUGUGUUGUUAGUACCAUGGUACCAUAGAGUAUUGGUCCACCGGAAAGAUUCGUAAAUAUGAAAGGUACGGUUAGGUUCGGGGAGAAUACUGAAGUCUUUCGGCAAGAUUCGUAACUUCGAAGGUACGAUUAGGUUCGAAGAUAUAGGGAAUAAUUGGUUUAGUAAUUGGUAUCGGCAAGAUUCGUAAAUAUAAAGGUACGGUUAGGUUCGAGGAAUUACCCCGACAAGGUUCGGGAAAUUUUAGAAUACUGAAAUCUUUCGACAAGAUUCGUAACUUCGAGGGUACGAUUAGGUUCGGCGGAGUAAUUCUUAGGAAAGGAGGUGAGGUUGUAGGCGAGGUGAAAGAGGAAUAAUAAAUUAGGAAUUUAAAGGCAAGAGAAUAAUAGUAUAAUAAAAAGUUUGGAGAUAAAAUAAUAUGCUCAAUUUAGGUGUAGAAUAAAAGGUGAUAUUUAACUGUUUGAAUUUAUUAACGAAAAAGCAUCAAAAGGACUGGAGGAAUAUUUUAGAUAGGACGAUAAUUGUGGUAUUGGCAAGGCACAUACUACGGGCGUGGCUAGGGUUGAGAAGUAUAUGUUUUAAAUGGUGGGGUAAUGUUGGCUCUAAUGGAGAGUUAUUACUUGAUUUGAUAUACUAAGGGUGUGGUUAGGUUUGGAAAAAUAUAUGUUUUAAAUGAUGGGUUAUUGUUGGCUCUAAUGGGGAUUUAUCAAUUGAUUUGAUGUUUAGUGUUUGACAGUGUACAAGCACCAAGUUCAGAUAGAUGGGCUAGAGCGGGAUAAUUUAUUAAAUAAUUUGAUGUUUGAGGUUGGACACUGUAUAACACCAAGUUUAAAUAAUUUGAUGUUUGAGGUUGGACACUGUAUAACGCCAAGUUUAAAUAAUUUGAUGUUUGAGGUCGGACACUGUAUAACACCAAGUUUAAAUCAUUUGAUGUUUGAUGUUGGACACUGUAUAACACUGAGUUUAAAUAAUUUGAUGUUUGAUGAUGGACACUGUAAAACACGAGUUUAAAUAAUUGGGUUGGAA